GCCCUUAAGAGGGGGAUAACAGAGGGAAACCUCUGCUAAUACCCCAUAACCCUUCUUAUCAUAAGAUAAGUUGGCAAAGUUUUUUCGCUUAAGGAUUGGCCUGUAUAGCAUCAGCUUGUUGGUGAGGUAAUGGCUCACCAAGGCUAUGACGCUUAACUGGUCUGAGAGGAUGAUCAGUCACACUGGAACUGAGACACGGUCCAGACUCCUACGGGAGGCAGCAGUGGGGAAUAUUGCACAAUGGGGGAAACCCUGAUGCAGCAACGCCGCGUGGAGGAUGACACUUUUCGGAGCGUAAACUCCUUUUCUGUUAGAAGAUAAUGACGGUAUAACAGGAAUAAGCACCGGCUAACUCCGUGCCAGCAGCCGCGGUAAUACGGAGGGUGCAAGCGUNACUCGGAAUCACUGGGCGUAAAGAGCGUGUAGGCUGUUUAGCAAGUCAGAAGUGAAAUCCUAUAGCUCAACUAUAGAACUGCUUUUGAAACUGCUUAACUAGAGUGUGGGAGAGGCAGAUGGAAUUUCUGGUGUAGGGGUAAAAUCCGUAGAUAUCAGAAGGAAUACCGAUUGCGAAGGCGAUCUGCUGGAACAUUACUGACGCUGAGACGCGAAAGCGUGGGGAGCAAACAGGAUUAGAUACCCUGGUAGUCCACGCCCUAAACGAUGUACACUAGUUGUUGUGGUGCUAGUCACUGCAGUAAUACAGUUAACACAUUAAGUGUACCGCCUGGGGAGUACGGUCGCAAGAUUAAAACUCAAAGGAAUAGACGGGGACCCGCACAAGCGGUGGAGCAUGUGGUUUAAUUCGAAGAUACGCGAAAAACCUUACCUGGCCUUGACAUUGAUAGAAUCCUGUAGAGAUACGGGAGUGCCGGCUUGCCGGAACUUGAAAACAGGUGCUGCACGGCUGUCGUCAGCUCGUGUCGUGAGAUGUUGGGUUAAGUCCCGCAACGAGCGCAACCCACGUCCUUAGUUGCCAGCAUUUCGGAUGGGAACUCUAAGGAGACUGCCUUCGCAAGGAGGAGGAAGGUGUGGACGACGUCAAGUCAUCAUGGCCCUUACGGCCAGGGCUACACACGUGCUACAAUGGGGCGUACAAAGAGCAGCAAUACCGCGAGGUGGAGCAAAUCUCAAAAACGCCUCCCAGUUCAGAUUGCACUCUGCAACUCGAGUGCAUGAAGUUGGAAUCGCUAGUAAUCGUA
rnacentral:rRNA from 1 species